AACACUGUUAACCUGCGGUACCUGCGGAGGGAUCAUUACCGAAGUACAGGCCCUUUUACAGGGCUAAACUUCCACCCUUUGUUUACUAUUCUUUGUUGCUUUGGCGAGACGUCUUCGGACCACCGGCUCUUGGGCUGGUGAGCGCUCGCCAGAGGAAAAUCAAACCCAAACCUUUUUUAGUGUCGUCUGAGAAACAAGUUUAAUUAUUAAAACUUUCAACAAUGGAUCUCAGAUCGGAAG
rnacentral:misc_RNA from 1 species